GGAGUCCUCUUCAGAUAGUGGGCCGGUCUCGAAAACCGGUGUGGACGCAAGUCUACCGAGGGUUCGAAUCCCUCCCUCUCCG
rnacentral:tRNA from 1 species